rnacentral:sRNA from 1 species
GGGUUACUCAUUUGUGCUUAUGCGCUUGGUUAAUAAAGAUUCGCACCUCUAUCAAACCUGGUAACCCCACCUUUUGGCAAGGCCCGACUGUCAGAUCAAAUCGAAAUUACUACAAUUUAAUUUCACCGGCAUGUGUGUAUAGAAGUGACACGCAGCGGUUGCACAGUGUUACGCUCAUGCUCAUGACAGCUGCCCGGAUAUCAUUGUCG